UACAAAAGCCAGGUCUAAAAAUAGCUCUAUCGAUACAACUCGAGGGGCCGAAAAAUCUGUAUCCAUACCACCUAAAACGAACAAAGGAUCACAAUAUUGGCCUCCAAGACAAUGUACAUUUCCGGGCUCUAAGCAAUGGGUAUAGUUUUCUUGGUUAAUCAAUGCAGCUUCAGCUCCUUUGCUAUGUACUUAAAAUUUGAAAUGAA
rnacentral:misc_RNA from 1 species